rnacentral:rRNA from 1 species
AGCUGGCACUCUUCGGCGUCCGCGUUGUAAUCUCGAGACGUGUUUUCCGUGCGGCUCUAUGGACAAGUCCCUUGGAACAGGGCAUCGUAGAGGGUGAAAAUCCCGUACUUGCCAUGGAAGAACCGUGCUUUGUGAUACACGCUCCAAGAGUCGAGUUGUUUGGGAUUGCUGCUCAAAGUGGGUGGUAGACUCCAUCUAAAGCUAAAUAUCGGGGAGAGACCGAUAGCGAACAAGUACCGUGAGGGAAAGAUGAAAAGCACUUUGGAAAGAGAGUUAAAAGUACGUGAAAUUGUCGAAAGGGAAGCACUUGAAGUCAGCCAUGCUGCUUGAGACUCAGCCUGGCCUUUGGGCGUGGUGUUUUUCUCGAGGGCGCCCCCAUUUUGUUUUGUCUCCUCAGAAAAGCAUGGAGAAAAUGGGAUCCCCCCAGACGUGUUAUACCCUUGUGGGAGACAACAACACCUACAUCAGGGAACGCUGUGUGC